UACGUCGGGGGCUAGCGUUGUUCGGAAUUACUGGGCGUAAAGCGCGUGUAGGCGGGUCUUUAAGUCGGGGGUGAAAUCCUGGAGCUCAACUCCAGAACUGCCUUCGAUACUGGAGAGCUCGAGUCCGGGAGAGGUGAGUGGAACUGCGAGUGUAGAGGGGAAAUUCGUAGAUAUUCGCAAGAACACCAGUGGCGAAGGCGGCUCACUGGCCCGGUACUGACGCUGAGGUGCGAAAGCGUGGGGAGCAAACAGG
rnacentral:rRNA from 1 species